UCCCCCGCGUCUCUAUGGUAGUGCGCGCUCGGCGGCGGCGGCGGCGGCGGCAGUCGGGGUGAGGCGAGUGGGUCCAACUUUCCUGCUGGCCUGAGGGGGUUGGGGCGCGGAGGGUCGCGAUGUCCGAGAAGAAGCAGCCGGUAGACUUGGGUCUCCUGGAGGAGGACGACGAGUUCGAGGAGUUCCCUGCGGAAGACUGGACUGGUUUAGAUGAAGAUGAAGAUGCACAUGUCUGGGAGGAUAAUUGGGAUGAUGACAAUGUAGAGGAUGACUUCUCCAAUCAGUUACGCAUUUUACUACUAGUCCAUACUGACCUCUACACCUGAGCAGAAGAAAGAUGAUUCAUAUGAAUAAUCUCUGGCCUUAAUAUUAUUCAUGGACUUUAGAGCUGAACUAGAGAAACAUGGUUAUAAGAUGGAGACCUCAUAAUAUCCAGAAGAAGUAUUGAAGCAACCUAAAGUUGAUUUACUAAAUUCUAGGUCACAGAAUCCAGGAUGAAUAAACUUAAAAAAUGUUUAUUUCAUUACUUGCUUGGCUUUAUUUUUGCUUUUGUAACACAAAAAAUAAAUGUUUUGAUCUAA